UAAGGAAUUCAUUCAGAUGGGAAGAUUUCAGGUGACAGUCAUUUGGAAAGGGUAUUUCACCAAAAAGUGAAAAAGCCAUAUAAGAAUUAUCCUGGACAUCUCAAAUAAGUUUGACUUUGUGAGGGGAGCCUGGGUGUGUAAACAUCAGCCAGAGCUUUGAGGUGGAUCUGCCUGUGCCUUCUCUUUAAGAGGUGAGCUUGCAGGUGCUGUAAGAAGUUCUGAGAUAAUGUGCUCAUCUCCUUCGGUGCAGCUGCCUACUUCUAGCAGAAGAAUUGAAUUAAUUGAAUAUUUGAAGAAUUGCUUAACUGAAUAUUUAAAGCUGCUUGUCAGGAUACUUAAGAUGAGAACUGUGUCAGCCAUUCCUGAUAACAGAGAGCCUUGGGCCUGGUGGAUGGGGAGAACAGCUUGGAAAGGUGGCAAAGUGCAGUGAAAAGUCACCUCUUCAAACUGCAAGUAUAAUCUGCU